rnacentral:rRNA from 1 species
CCCUUAGAUGUUCUGGGCCGCACGCGCGCUACACUGACGAAUGCAACGAGCUUAUAACCUUGGCAGAAAGGUCUGGGUAAUCUCCAAAUUUCGUCGUGAUGGGGAUAGAUUAUUGCAAUUAUUAAUCUUCAACGAGGAAUGCCUAGUAAGCGCAAGUCAUCAGCUUGCGUUGAUUACGUCCCUGCCCUUUGUACACACCGCCCGUCGCUCCUACCGAUUGAAUGGUCCGGUGAAGCGUUCGGACCGUGGCCUUUGGACGGUUCGCCGUCUGUUGGCUGCGGGAAGUUCGUUAAACCUUAUCAUUUAGAGGAAGGAGAAGUCGUAACA